AGUGCCGUACGGAGAAUAGGGAAUCAGGUGCAAGUCCUGAGCGAUCCGGUCACUGUAAGCAGCAAGCAUUCUGCAUUUAUGCCAUUGCCGGGCAGGCCCCGGUGAGAAGGCGCAGUACAUGCAUUUUUCUGUAAGCCAGGAGACCUGCUGACGGUUAU
rnacentral:ncRNA from 1 species